rnacentral:rRNA from 1 species
UGGCUCAGGAUGAACGCUAGCUACAGGCUUAACACAUGCAAGUCGAGGGGCAGCAUUAUCGAAGCUUGCUUGAUAGAUGGCGACCGGCGCACGGGUGCGUAACACGUAUCCAAUCUACCCAUGGCUCAGGGAUAGCCUUUCGAAAGAAAGAUUAAUACCUGAUGGUUUCAUGAUUCCGCAUGGGCUUAUGAAUAAAGAUUUAUCGGCGAUGGAUGAGGAUGCGUCCGAUUAGCUUGUUGGCGGGUAACGGCCCACCAAGGCGACGAUCGGUAGGGGCUCUGAGAGGAGGAUCCCCCACAUUGGAACUGAGACACGGUCCAAACUCCUACGGGAGGCAGCAGUGAGGAAUAUUGGUCAAUGGGCGAGAGCCUGAACCAGCCAAGUAGCGUGAGGGAUGACUGCCCUAUGGGUUGUAAACCUCUUUUGUUUGGGAAUAAAGUGAGCCACGUGUGGUUUUUUGUAUGUACCUUACGAAUAAGCAUCGGCUAAUUCCGUGCCAGCAGCCGC